rnacentral:rRNA from 1 species
CCCUUAGAUGUUCUGGGCCGCACGCGUGCUACACUGAGUAAUUCAAUGGGUAAGGGAACGCUAGAGCAUUACCUAAUCUUGAAAUUUGCUCGUGAUGGGGAUCGACGGUUGCAAUUUUCCGUCGUGAACGAGGAAUACCUUGUAGGCGCAUGUCAUCAUCAUGCGCCGAAUACGUCCCUGCCCUUUGCACACACCGCCCGUCGCUCCUACCGAUUGAGUGAUCCGGUGAGGCUCUGGGACCUGGACGGAAAGAGCGUUUCGCUUGUUCUGUUUGGGAAACUUGGUCGAACCUUAUCAUUUAGAGGAAGGAGAAGUCGUAACA